rnacentral:tRNA from 1 species
GCCUCUGUAGCUCAAUGGUAGAGCGACCGCUUGAAACGCGGUCUGUCUGAGUUCGAGUCUCAGCAUAGGCA